UACGAAGGGGGCUAGCGUUGUUCGGAAUUACUGGGCGUAAAGCGCACGUAGGCGGAUUGUUAAGUUAGGGGGUGAAAUCCCAGGGCUCAACCCUGGAACUGCCUUUAAUACUGGCAAUCUCGAGUCCGAGAGAGGUGAGUGGAAUUCCGAGUGUAGAGGUGAAAAUUCGUAGAUAUUCGGAGGAACACCAGUGGCGAAGGCGGCUCACUGGUCCAUUACUGACGCUGAGGUGCGAAAGCGUGGGGAGCAAACAGG
rnacentral:rRNA from 1 species